GUGGGGAAUAUUGGACAAUGGGCGAAAGCCUGAUCCAGCCAUGCCGCGUGUGUGAAGAAGGUCUUCGGAUUGUAAAGCACUUUAAGUUGGGAGGAAGGGCAGUAAGUUAAUACCUUGCUGUUUUGACGUUACCGACAGAAUAAGCACCGGCUAACUUCGUGCCAGCAGCCGCGGUAAUACGAAGGGUGCAAGCGUUAAUCGGAAUUACUGGGCGUAAAGCGCGCGUAGGUGGUUUUGUAAGUUGAAGGUGAAAUCCCCGGGCUCAACCUGGGAACUGCCUCCAAAACUACUGAGCUAGAGUACGGUAGAGGGUAGUGGAAUUUCCUGUGUAGCGGUGAAAUGCGUAGAUAUAGGAAGGAACACCAGUGGCGAAGGCGACUACCUGGACUGAUACUGACACUGAGGUGCGAAAGCGUGGGGAGCAAACAGGAUUAGAAACCCUUGUAGUCC
rnacentral:rRNA from 1 species